rnacentral:rRNA from 1 species
UUCGCCCUUAGAGUUUGAUCCUGGCUCAGGAUGAACGCUAGCUACAGGCUUAACACAUGCAAGUCGAGGGGCAGCAUGGUCUUAGCUUGCUAAGGCCGAUGGCGACCGGCGCACGGGUGAGUAACACGUAUCCAACCUGCCGUCUACUCUUGGACAGCCUUCUGAAAGGAAGAUUAAUACAAGAUGGCAUCAUGAGUCCGCAUGUUCACAUGAUUAAAGGUAUUCCGGUAGACGAUGGGGAUGCGUUCCAUUAGAUAGUAGGCGGGGUAACGGCCCACCUAGUCUUCGAUGGAUAGGGGUUCUGAGAGGAAGGUCCCCCACAUUGGAACUGAGACACGGUCCAAACUCCUACGGGAGGCGGCAGUGAGGAAUAUUGGUCAAUGGGCGAGAGCCUGAACCAGCCAAGUAGCGUGAAGGAUGACUGCCCUAUGGGUUGUAAUCUUCUUUUAUAAAGGAAUAAAGUCGGGUAUGCAUACCCGUUUGCAUGUACUUUAUGAAUAAGGAUCGGCUAACUCCGUGCCAGCAGCCGCGGUAAUACGGAGGAUCCGAGCGUUAUCCGGAUUUAUUGGGUUUAAAGGGAGCGUAGAUGGAUGUUUAAGUCAGUUGUGAAAGUUUGCGGCUCAACCGUAAAAUUGCAGUUGAUACUGGAUAUCUUGAGUGCAGUUGAGGCAGGCGGAAUUCGUGGUGUAGCGGUGAAAUGCUUAGAUAUCACGAAGAACUCCGAUUGCGAAGGCAGCCUGCUAAGCUGCAACUGACAUUGAGGCUCGAAAGUGUGGGUAUCAAACAGGAUUAGAUACCCUGGUAGUCCACACGGUAAACGAUGAAUACUCGCUGUUUGCGAUAUACAGCAAGCGGCCAAGCGAAAGCGUUAAGUAUUCCACCUGGGGAGUACGCCGGCAACGGUGAAACUCAAAUGAAUUGACG